rnacentral:rRNA from 1 species
AUUGAACGCUGGCGGCAGGCUUAACACAUGCAAGUCGAACGAUGAUUAUCUAGCUUACUAGAUAUGAUUAGUGGCGGACGGGUGAGUAACAUUUAGGAAUCUGCCUAGUAGUGGGGGAUAGCUCGGGGAAACUCGAAUUAAUACCGCAUACGACCUACGGGUGAAAGGGGGCGCAAGCUCUUGCUAUUAGAUGAGCCUAAAUCAGAUUAGCUAGUUGGUGGGGUAAAGGCCCACCAAGGCGACGAUCUGUAACUGGUCUGAGAGGAUGAUCAGUCACACCGGAACUGAGACACGGUCCGGACUCCUACGGGAGGCAGCAGUGGGGAAUAUUGGACAAUGGGGGCAACCCUGAUCCAGCCAUGCCGCGUGUGUGAAGAAGGCCUUUUGGUUGUAAAGCACUUUAAGCAGGGAGGAGAGGCUAAUGGUUAAUACCCAUUAGAUUAGACGUUACCUGCAGAAUAAGCACCGGCUAACUCUGUGCCAGCAGCCGCGGUAAUACAGAGGGUGCGAGCGUUAAUCGGAAUUACUGGGCGUAAAGCGAGUGUAGGUGGCUCAUUAAGUCACAUGUGAAAUCCCCGGGCUUAACCUGGGAACUGCAUGUGAUACUGGUAGUGCUAGAAUAUGUGAGAGGGAAGUAGAAUUCCCGGUGUAGCGGUGAAAUGCGUAGAGAUCUGGAGGAAUACCGAUGGCGAAGCCAGCUUCCUGGCAUAAUAUUGACACUGAGAUUCGAAAGCGUGGGUAGCAGACAGGAUUAGAUACCCUGGUAGUCCACGCAGUAAACGAUGUCUACUAGCCGUUGGGCAUCCUUGAGCCUUUAGAGGCUCAGUUACAGCGAUAACUAGACCUCGUGGGCAGUACGGCCGCAAGGUCUAAAACUCAAAUCAAUUGACGGGGGCCCGCACAACCCGUGCAGCAUGUCAGUUUAAUUCGAUGCAACGCGAAGAACGUUCCCUGGUCUUGCCAUAGUGUGAAUCCUGCAGAGAUGCGGGAGUGCCUUCGCGAACUCACAUACAGGUGCUGCAUGGCUGUCGUCAUCUCGUGUCGUGAGAUGUUGGGUUAAGUCCCGCAACGAGCGCAACCCUUUUCUUUAUUUUCCACCGGGGUAAGCCGGGAGCUUUAAGGAUGCUGCCAGCGACAACCUGGAGGAAGGCGGGGAGGACGUCAACUCAUCAUCACCCUCACGACCAGGGCUACACACGUGCUACAACGGUAGGUACAGAGGGGUGCUACACAGCGAUGUGAUGAUAAUCUCAAAAAGCCUAUCGUAGUCCGGAUGGGAGUGUGCAACUCGUCUCCACGAAGUCGGAAUCGCUAGUAAUCGCGGAUCACAAUGCCGCGGUGAAUAUGUUCCCGGGCCU